rnacentral:tRNA from 1 species
AGUUAAUGAUCUUGAUCAAAGU